UUUCCGUAGGUGAACCUGCGGAAGGAUCAUUCAUAAUAAAGUGUUUUAUGGCACUUUUUAAAAAUCCAUAUCCACCUUGUGUGCAAUGUUAGAUCUCGUCAAUCUUGGCGAGAUUUUUAUACAUCAACUCAUUCUUUAACUAAUUUGUCUGAAAAAUAUUAUGAAUACUUAGUUCAAAGUACAACUUUCAACAACGGAUCUCUUGGCUCUC
rnacentral:misc_RNA from 1 species